GGGUUGUGAGGUUAAGCGACUAAGCGUACACGGUGGAUGCCCUGGCAGUCAGAGGCGAUGAAGGGCGUGCUAAUCUGCGAUAAGCGCCGGUAAGGUGAUAUGAACCGUUAUAACCGGCGAUACCCGAAUGGGGAAACCCAGUGUGAUUCGUCACACUAUCAUUAACUGAAUCCAUAGGUUAAUGAGGCGAACCGGGGGAACUGAAACAUCUAAGUACCCCGAGGAAAAGAAAUCAACCGAGAUUCCCCCAGUAGCGGCGAGCGAACGGGGAGGAGCCCAGAGCCUGAAUCAGCAUGUGUGUUAGUGGAAGCGUCUGGAAAGGCGCGCGAUACAGGGUGACAGCCCCGUACACAAAAGCGCAUGUGCUGUGAGCUCGAUGAGUAGGGCGGGACACGUGGUAUCCUGUCUGAAUAUGGGGGGACCAUCCUCCAAGGCUAAAUACUCCUGACUGACCGAUAGUGAACCAGUACCGUGAGGGAAAGGCGAAAAGAACCCCGGCGAGGGGAGUGAAAAAGAACCUGAAACCGUGUACGUACAAGCAGUGGGAGCACCCUUUGGGUGUGACUGCGUACCUUUUGUAUAAUGGGUCAGCGACUUAUAUUCUGUAGCAAGGUUAACCGAAUAGGGGAGCCGGAGGGAAACCGAGUCUUAAUUGGGCGUUAAGUUGCAGGGUAUAGACCCGAAACCCGGUGAUCUAGCCAUGGGCAGGUUGAAGGUUGGGUAACACUAACUGGAGGACCGAACCGACUAAUGUUGAAAAAUUAGCGGAUGACCUGUGGCUGGGGGUGAAAGGCCAAUCAAACCGGGAGAUAGCUGGUUCUCCCCGAAAGCUAUUUAGGUAGCGCCUCGUGAAUUCAUCUCCGGGGGUAGAGCACUGUUUCGGCUAGGGGGCCAUCCCGGCUUACCAACCCGAUGCAAACUGCGAAUACCGGAGAAUGUUAUCACGGGAGACACACGGCGGGUGCUAACGUCCGUCGUGAAGAGGGAAACAACCCAGACCGCCAGCUAAGGUCCCAAAGUCAUGGUUAAGUGGGAAACGAUGUGGGAAGGCCCAGACAGCCAGGAUGUUGGCUUAGAAGCAGCCAUCAUUUAAAGAAAGCGUAAUAGCUCACUGGUCGAGUCGGCCUGCGCGGAAGAUGUAACGGGGCUAAACCAUGCACCGAAGCUGCGGCAGCGACACUGUGUGUUGUUGGGUAGGGGAGCGUUCUGUAAGCCUGUGAAGGUGUGUCGUGAGGCAUGCUGGAGGUAUCAGAAGUGCGAAUGCUGACAUAAGUAACGAUAAAGCGGGUGAAAAGCCCGCUCGCCGGAAGACCAAGGGUUCCUGUCCAACGUUAAUCGGGGCAGGGUGAGUCGACCCCUAAGGCGAGGCCGAAAGGCGUAGUCGAUGGGAAACGGGUUAAUAUUCCCGUACUUGGUGUUACUGCGAAGGGGGGACGGAGAAGGCUAUGUUGGCCGGGCGACGGUUGUCCCGGUUUAAGCGUGUAGGUGUGUGUUCCAGGUAAAUCCGGUUCACUUUAACACUGAGGCGUGACGACGAGGCACUACGGUGCUGAAGCAACAAAUGCCCUGCUUCCAGGAAAAGCCUCUAAGCAUCAGGUAACAUCAAAUCGUACCCCAAACCGACACAGGUGGUCAGGUAGAGAAUACCAAGGCGCUUGAGAGAACUCGGGUGAAGGAACUAGGCAAAAUGGUGCCGUAACUUCGGGAGAAGGCACGCUGACACGUAGGUGAAGUGAUUUACUCAUGGAGCUGAAGUCAGUCGAAGAUACCAGCUGGCUGCAACUGUUUAUUAAAAACACAGCACUGUGCAAACACGAAAGUGGACGUAUACGGUGUGACGCCUGCCCGGUGCCGGAAGGUUAAUUGAUGGGGUCAGCGCAAGCGAAGCUCCUGAUCGAAGCCCCGGUAAACGGCGGCCGUAACUAUAACGGUCCUAAGGUAGCGAAAUUCCUUGUCGGGUAAGUUCCGACCUGCACGAAUGGCGUAAUGAUGGCCAGGCUGUCUCCACCCGAGACUCAGUGAAAUUGAACUCGCUGUGAAGAUGCAGUGUACCCGCGGCAAGACGGAAAGACCCCGUGAACCUUUACUAUAGCUUGACACUGAACAUUGAGCCUUGAUGUGUAGGAUAGGUGGGAGGCUUUGAAGUGUGGACGCCAGUCUGCAUGGAGCCGACCUUGAAAUACCACCCUUUAAUGUUUGAUGUUCUAACGUGGACCCGUUACCCGGGUUGCGGACAGUGUCUGGUGGGUAGUUUGACUGGGGCGGUCUCCUCCUAAAGAGUAACGGAGGAGCACGAAGGUUGGCUAAUCCUGGUCGGACAUCAGGAGGUUAGUGCAAUGGCAUAAGCCAGCUUGACUGCGAGCGUGACGGCGCGAGCAGGUGCGAAAGCAGGUCAUAGUGAUCCGGUGGUUCUGAAUGGAAGGGCCAUCGCUCAACGGAUAAAAGGUACUCCGGGGAUAACAGGCUGAUACCGCCCAAGAGUUCAUAUCGACGGCGGUGUUUGGCACCUCGAUGUCGGCUCAUCACAUCCUGGGGCUGAAGUAGGUCCCAAGGGUAUGGCUGUUCGCCAUUUAAAGUGGUACGCGAGCUGGGUUUAGAACGUCGUGAGACAGUUCGGUCCCUAUCUGCCGUGGGCGCUGGAGAACUGAGGGGGGCUGCUCCUAGUACGAGAGGACCGGAGUGGACGCAUCACUGGUGUUCGGGUUGUCAUGCCAAUGGCACUGCCCGGUAGCUAAAUGCGGAAGAGAUAAGUGCUGAAAGCAUCUAAGCACGAAACUUGCCCCGAGAUGAGUUCUCCCUGAGACUUUAGGUCUCCUGAAGGAACGUUGAAGACGACGACGUUGAUAGGCCGGGUGUGUAAGCGCAGCGAUGCGUUGAGCUAACCGGUACUAAUGAACCGUGAGGCUUAACCUUACAACGCCGAAG
rnacentral:rRNA from 6 species